rnacentral:lncRNA from 1 species
AAGACACGGGAAGAAAAGAGUGUAGAAUUCCCGAAGCCGUGGACCUAAGCAAUGUGGUCUGCAAACCAGAGUCUGAGAAGUGUUGUAUUUUGCCGGGUAAGGUAAAAAGAACUGUACACCGGAGGGAGCUUAUAAGACAUCAACGACGGAAUGUUCAGAAUCCAGGUGGGCAGACAGAUGCACAAACCUCUCAGGAAGUGAGCCUGUACUGGGAAGUGAGCCUGCACCAAGAAGUGAGCCUGCACCAGGAAGUGGGCCUGCAUGGGGAAGUGAGCCUGCACCGGGAAGUGGGCCUGCAUGGGGAAGUGAGCCUGCACCGGGAAGUGGGCCUGCAUGGGGAAGUGAGCCUGCACUGGGAAGUGAGCCUGCACCGGGAAGUGAGCCUGCAUGGGGAAGUGAGCCUGCACCGGGAAGUGGGCCUGCAAUGGGAAGUGAGCCUGUAUGGGGAAGUGAGCCUGCAUUGGAAAGUGAGCCUGCACUGGGAAGUGAGCCUGCAUUAGGAAGUGAGCCUGCACCAGGAAGUGAGCCUGCACCGGGAAAUGAGCCUACACCAGGAAGUGAGCCUGCACCAGGAAGUGAGCCUGCACCGGGAAAUGAGCCUACACCAGGAAGUGAGCCUGCACCAGGAAGUGAGCCUGCACCGGGAAAUGAGCCUAC